rnacentral:rRNA from 1 species
UACGAAGGGUGCAAGCGUUAAUCGGAAUUACUGGGCGUAAAGGGUGCGUAGGCGGUUCGUUAAGUCUGUCGUGAAAUCCCCGGGCUCAACCUGGGAAUGGCGAUGGAUACUGGCGAGCUAGAGUGUGUCAGAGGAUGGUGGAAUUCCCGGUGUAGCGGUGAAAUGCGUAGAGAUCGGGAGGAACAUCAGUGGCGAAGGCGGCCAGCUGGGACAACACUGACGCUGAAGCACGAAAGCGUGGGGAGCAAACAGG